rnacentral:rRNA from 1 species
UCUUGACAUCCCGAUGCCAUUUCUAGAGAUAGAAAGUUACUUCGGUACAUCGGUGACAGGUGGUGCAUGGUUGUCGUCAGCUCGUGUCGUGAGAUGUUGGUUAAGUCCCGCAACGAGCGCAACCCCUAUUGUUAGUUGCCAUCAUUCAGUUGGGCACUCUAGCGAGACUGCCGGUAAUAAACCGGAGGAAGGUGGGGAUGACGCCAAAUCAUCAUGCCCCUUAUGACCUGGGCUACACACGUGCUACAAUGGUUGGUACAACGAGUUGCGAGUCGGUGACGGCGAGCUAAUCUCUUAAAGCCAAUCUCAGUUCGGAUUGUAGGCUGCAACUCGCCUACAUGGAGUCGGAAUCGCUAGUAAUCGCGGAUCAGCACGCCGCGGUGAAUACGUUCCCGGGCCUU